AGUGAAUAGAUACCCGGUAGUCCCAGCUGUAAACGAUGCGCGUUAGGUGUAUCAGUGACCACGAGUCACUGAGGUGCCGAAGAGAAAUCGUGAAACGUGCCGCCUGGGAAGUACGGUCGCAAGGCUGAAACUUAAAGGAAUUGGCGGGGGAGCACCACAACAGGUGGAGCCUGCGGUUUAAUCGGACUCAACGCCGGGAAACUCACCAGAUAAGACAGCUGAAUGAUUGUCGGGCUGAAGACUCUACAUGACUAGCUGAGAGGAGGUGCAUGGCCGUCGUCAGUUCGUACUGCGAAGCAUCCUGUUAAGUCAGGCAACGAGCGAGACCCACGCCAACAGUUGCUAGCCCGUCCUCGGGAUGGAGAGGACACUGUUGGGACCGCCUCUGCUAAAGAGGAGGAAGGAAUGGGCAACGGUAGGUCAGCAUGCCCGAAUUAUCUGGGCUACACGCGGGCUACAAU
rnacentral:rRNA from 1 species